AGGCAAAGGUGGAAGGGCGCACGGUGGAUGCCUCGGCGCCAGGAGCCGAUGAAGGGCGCGGCAAGCGGCGAAACGCCCCGGGGAGCCGCAAGCGGGCCGGGAUCCGGGGGUGCCCGAAUGGGGGAACCCGCCAGGGUGGAGCCCUGGCAUNNNNNNNNNNCGGGCCGCACGGGAGUGACAAAGAGAGGGCGUAGGCGAACGGACCUGGAACGGUCGGCCGGAGAAGGUGAGAGCCCUGUAGCCGAAACGCUCUUUCCUCCUGGCCCGGCUCCUGAGUACCGCGGGGCACGAGGAAUCCCGCGGGAAGCGGGGAGGACCACCUCCCAAGGCUAAAUACUCCCUGGCGACCGAUAGUGGAGGAGUACCGUGAGGGAACGGUGAAAAGCACCCCGGGAGGGGAGUGAAAGAGGACCUGAAACCGUGUGCCCACAAGCAGUCGGAGCCCGUCGAUGGGUGACGGCGUGCCUUUUGCAGAAUGAGCCGGCGAGUGACGCUUGCAUGCGAGGUUAAGGCCUUCAGGGCCGGAGCCGGAGCGAAAGCGAGUCUGAAGAGGGCGGGAGUAUGCAGGCGUCGACCCGAAACCGGGUGAUCUACCCAUGUCCAGGGUGAAGGUCGGCGAAAUCCGACUGGAGGCCCGAACCCACUGGUGUUGCAAAACCAGGGGAUGAGGUGUGGGUAGGGGUGAAAAGCCAAGCGAACCCGGAGAUAGCUGGUUCUCCCCGAAAUCGCUUGAGGGCGAGCCUCAAGGGGAGCGCC
rnacentral:ncRNA from 1 species